CUCUGAAGGUUAAUUCGACAGUGAGAACCUGACUCUUUGCCUCUUGCCUGAUCAAUGCCACCUACCUGCCAUUUUUCUUGCCACUUCUCGAACUGGAAAUUCUGCCCAUAAUAUAAGACACCAUCUCCUUUUUAUAGCAGAAUGGGAUGUGGAUAUACCGGCUACGCCAGCAUUUAUUCCCCUGGAGAAGAUGGGACUGGGUGGGGGGAAGCGGGGUGGAGGUGUGCUGUCUUCAUGAACUGCUGCAGCCUUGGAGUUUAAGGACACCCACAGUGUGGAAAAGGAAUGGAAUUCCAGGAUUUUGAUCGAGAGCCAGUUCAGGAAUAAAGACAUAAUUCCAAGUCAGGAUGGUGUGUGACUGGAAAGGCAACUAUUGUUUAAGCUGUGACAUUGCUGAUUUACAAGAUCACAAUAUAUUACAUGUGAAAAGAAGAUAAUUAAGCUGGGACCAGCGGCACUCAUUCCAGAAGUGUCUUCACUCCAAAGAGGCCAGUCCCUCAGCCCAUCAACUCUCCUUCAUCUCUGAGGGAGAUGACACAGAAAGAACUACCAGCAAGUCUUCCUACUGCACCUGCAACCAGCUCACAGACCUUCCUCAGUGGGUUCUCUUUCCAAAUUUUGUUUGUGGAGCAAUUUCACAGCUGGCCAAGGAAGACACGCCCUAGUCUACUGCACUCAAAGGACCACCAGACACCCGGCACCUGCUCAUCUCCUAGC